rnacentral:rRNA from 1 species
GAUCCUGGCUCAGGAUGAACGCUAGCUACAGGCUUAACACAUGCAAGUCGGGGGGGCAGCAUGGUCUUAGCUUGCUAAGGCCGAUGGCGACCGGCGCACGGGUGAGUAACACGUAUCCAACCUGCCGUCUACUCUUGGACAGCCUUCUGAAAGGAAGAUUAAUACAAGAUGGCAUCAUGAGUCCGCAUGUUCACAUGAUUAAAGGUAUUCCGGUAGACGAUGGGGAUGCG